AUUUGUAGGCAAGCUGAACCUCGUCGCCACACCAGGGAGCAGGCAGAAGGAAGACCCUCACGGAGCCCUCCAGAGCGCGUAACAGGAGAGCCCGCAUUCGGAUGCCUGCCCAUACACUGGGAACAAAGGGCCCGUCGGUGUCAAGUGGAGGCGCUGUCGUGACCAGUGGAGAAGAUUACGAGCUUACAAGCGACAGUCUCGUAAAACGCGACCGGCCUCUCCGUCCUCCGCCCCCCACGCCGCAGCAGUGCAUGCUGGGAAGCGGGAGGCGUUGCUAGAACGGGAAGAAGUCGGACCCCCCUGCGAAGCGCUGCCGUCAGCCCCGAGCUCACGUUCCGGUCCCUCGGGGAAACUUAAAAAAAAAAAAAAUUCUUGGUAUGCCCAGUUAUUCCGAUUUAACUGGUCUGGAACGGAACCCAGGCAUUGACAUUUUAAAUGAGCAGCCUGAAUUGGGAACCACUUCCCUAAAGCCUGUGCUUGGGAGACGAUGGAGGCUUGCCAGAUUUAGCAAACAGAAUGAGAGGUACUUAGAUGACAACGUUAUUUAUCUAGAACUCUAAUUUCAUUGGCAUUCUGCAGUUUUAAGAGGGAAGGAAAAGUACUGGAAAUGGACAGAAGGUUGAAAUUUUAAAGUGAACAGGGCAGAAUCUUAAGGAACGAAAAUAACCGUUUAAUGGUAAAAGGUGACUGAAACACUAUGGAAUUGGGCUGAUCUGUCACGCAAAGGAGCUGCUACCCAGUGAGAAAUGGGGGGUUUGAGAGUUUGGGAGCAAUUUCAGGAAAAAUAAACCGUUUCAUGUUUAUGACCCCAGUGAACUGAGAUUCCCAGUAAACCAGUGAUAUCGCUCUGACCUUGCCCCAGAGAUGAGCAAACAGAAGCCUGGAGAAUUUACGUGAUUUGUGCAAGUUCAACACAGCUGAAACCAGCCUUGCAGAAGACUGUCCAGUGGGGCGCGGGGGGGACCUCACGUCCCAUAGCUCUAAGGUGAUUCUUAGAAACCUCCACUCUGAAGGCCUCUUGUCCUUCAAUCAAGCAUCCAGCACAUCCUCACAACUCCCUCGGUUCACCCUGAGGCCACUCUUCUCACCGUUGACAUCAAUACCAUUAUUCCUGACACAUGAGGCAGGGUGAUCCAAGACCAGAAGGUCAUCAUGAUCAAGAGGAUAAAUAUCAGAGAUCAGCCAGUACAGAAGAUAUUUGCCGCUACUCCAGCACCAGAGCCCACCCUGAGUGCAGACUCAGUGAAGACUUGGAGCAUUUAAAGUAAAAAACAAACUAAAAAUGGUUCUACGUUUGGUCACUUCCAAAUUAUUCUCAUACUUACGGUCUAUCCAGGGCCAUGUCUCCUUCAUUUCCUUCUCAUCAGUUAUCUAUCUUUGGCCAACAAAUCAUCACUGGUGAUUCCUUUUCCAAUACAUGGCUGGGAAGCAAUGAGACAGAAAAACAAAAUUGUUUUCUUGUUUGAGUUAAAUUCAAUUUUACAAACAAAUUGAGUUUGUGCUAAUGGCCAGGUAUUCUGCUUGGUACUAGGGAUAAAAGGACUGGGGAUUACAGUCAAGUGAUAGGGAAAAGACCAGUUGAUUCCCAAUGAUGAAAAGUUAGCACAGAUGCUACAGGAGACGUGAGAGUCACUCAACUUUGCCUUGGUUGGGGUAGUGGAGGAUCAGGGAAGUCUUCCUGGAGGAGGUGACAGCCAUUCUAAAUCUUGAAGAUUGAAUAAGAGUUACCCAGGCAAAUGGGUGAGAAGGGGGUGAAGACAUUGUAUGCAGAGAAUACUUGUGCAAAGGUUCUGAGGAGCAGUUUGUUAACAUCUGAAGUGCCCUGCUCAGGAAUACACAUUCCAGAGUGUUUGUAAGCUUUGAUAGAUGCUAACUGGAUGUCACGCUCCAGAGGUACCUUCUACAAGAGCUUCGGCCAUCUUUUUUCCUUUCCAGCUUUAUUGAGAUAUUACUGACUUAUAAUAUACAUGAGGCUGUUGCCUGAUUCUGACCAGCAGCCCAGAUGAAUUCUGCCACUAGAAUAUUGUCUCUUUAUACAAGUGCUAGCCAUCCUUCGCCACCACUCCAGCGGGGGAGUUAUCCAAGGCAGCUCAGUUCAACCGAGCGGCAGGAAGGACAGAAUCCCAUGGAAAGGAGCCGAAGUUCUAUCAGGAAGACAAUACCAGUUCUGACAAAUCUGGAAGCCUGGACCAUGACCCCUGGCCCCUUGGAGCUCAUAUCUACCUAGUUGCUGGUACCACUAGAAUGGACGCACCACUUCUCCUAAUGGAAAUACAGAGAAGAAAAGAGAAGGUCGCAGGGGUCGUGAAGCAAGCACAGGUUUCUUUCUGCUUCUCAGAAGGGCUGGCCAGCGCCUCGGCCAUGCUCCUCAGGAAUGGCUGGGAAAACGAGCCUACCUGGUGGGCCAGCCAGGUUCCUGCUACCUGAAGCCCUGCCAGGGCUGUGCAGACUUCCAGUGGCUGGAAAAGGAGUCUGAGGGAAAAGUCCUACAAAGGCACCCGUAGCACAGUGGUUAAGGCAGGGCUCUGGGGGCUUCCCUGGUGGCUCAGUGGUUAAGAAUCCACCUGCCAAUGCAGGAGGCACGGGUUCGAGCCCUGGUCCGGGAAGAUCCCACAUGCCACGGAGCAACUAAGCCCGUGUGCCACGACUACUGAGCCCGCGAGCCACAACUAUUGAGCCUGCAUGCCACAACUACUGAAGCCCGUGCGCCUAGAGCCCGUGCUCCACAACAAGAGAAGCUACCGCAACAAAGAGUAGCCCCCGCUCGCCGCAACUAGAGAAAGCCUGCACGCAGCAACAAAGACCCAAUGCAGCCCCCCAAAAAACAAUAAAGUCAGGGCUCUGGGGCCAGAAUGCCCGCGUUCAGCUUUCUGCUCGGGGUCACAGUGGUGUGUGACCUCAGGCCAGCGACUCAAACUUUCUGAGCUUCAGUUUCCUCACAUGUAACAGGGACAAUAAUUGUGUCUGUCUCAUAGGGCCGUUAUGAUGAUUAAAUGAGUCAUUCCACGGUAAGCAUUAACAGCAGUACCUGGCACUUAAGGUCUGCUCAACAAGUGUUAGCUACUAUCUAGGACUUUGCCGUCCAGUAUGGUAACCACUAACCACAUAUGGCUAUUGAGUGCUAGAACUGUGGCUAGUCUGGCUUGAUAGGUGCUGUAGGUACAAAGUACACACAGAUUUCAAAGACUUUGUAGGAGAAAAAGAAUAUAAAAUAUCUCAUUGAUAGUUGUUCUGUUGAUUAAUUGAAGUUGAUAUUUCAAUUGUAUGUUGAAAUAAUAGCAUUUUGGAAUAUGCUGGGUUAAAUAAAUACAUAAUAUAAAAAUUAA